rnacentral:rRNA from 1 species
AUUGAACGCUGGCGGCAUGCCUUACACAUGCAAGUCGAACGGCAGCACGGGGGCAACCCUGGUGGCGAGUGGCGAACGGGUGAGUAAUGCAUCGGAACGUGCACAGUAGUGGGGGACAACCAGUCGAAAGAUUGGCUAAUACCGCAUACGACCUAUGGGUGAAAGCGGGGGACCGUAAGGCCUGGCGCUAUUGGAACGGCCGAUGUCUGAUUAGCUAGUUGGUGAGGGAAAAGCUCACCAAGGCGACGAUCAGUAGCUGGUCUGAGAGGACGACCAGCCCAACUGGGACUGAGACACGGCCCAGACUCCUACGGGAGGCAGCAGUGGGGAAUUUUGGACAAUGGGCGCAAGCCUGAUCCAGCCAUGCCGCGUGCGGGAAGAAGGCCUUCGGGUUGUAAACCGCUUUUGGCAGGAACGAAACGGCGACUUCUAAUACGAGUCGUUAAUGACGGUACCUGCAGAAUAAGCACCGGCUAACUACGUGCCAGCAGCCGCCGUAACAC